UACGAAGGGGGCUAGCGUUGCUCGGAAUCACUGGGCAUAAAGGGCGCGUAGGCGGCUUUCUAAGUCAGGGGUGAAAUCCGGCAGCUCAACUGUCGCAGUGCCUUUGAUACUGGAGAGCUCGAGGGAGGUAGGGGUCUGUGGAACUUCCGGUGGAGCGGUGAAAUGCGUUGAUAUCGGAAGGAACGCCGGUGGCGAAAGCGACGGACUGGAUCUACUUCUGACGCUGGAGGCGCGAAAGCCAGGGGAGCAAACGGG
rnacentral:rRNA from 1 species